CUCCAACAUCCCCUGUUUGUAAAUGUAUCUCAGCAUUGCUUCUUUGGGAAGCUUCCCCAAAGCUCCUCUAAAGAAAUCAAUACCAGUUCACUCUGCUUCCACUGAUGCCAAGUGAGCACAACUGACUGGUGAGAACUGAUAAAAGCUCCUGAAAAGAAGAAUACACUGCUACAGUAUCACUGCAGCUUUCUUCCCACGGAGGCUCUGAAGGAACAGGAGUGCACGGAUCCAUGCCAAAGCCUGGGAUAAGCAAGGGCUGCUGUGGAAAGUUCCCUGCACAGGAAAG